rnacentral:piRNA from 1 species
UAGGCUAAAUGACUGAGUAAUAUAGAGGCC